ensembl:lncRNA
AACAGACAACACGAGCACUUCUCUACAGGGAGCGUGUUUACAUCAAGAACUUUUACAGCAGGAACACCUACCAGGAGCUGAUGCUACAGCUAAUACCGCUAAUACAGCUAAUAAUGAGUGCUAAAGUGGCUAAUCAUGCUAACUGUAGCACCACAAUGCUGAAUCGAUAUCAAGUCCAUCAUCAUGCUAAUACUGGCAGCAGAAUGAGUAUUAGCACUGCUAAUGCUAGCUCCUGACAUGGCUAAUUACUGUAUAAUUUGGGAUGCUAACUAUAGCAGCAAACAGUGAUCGGUGGUUGUGUGAGUGAUAUUUCAGGAAUCUGUUGUUUGUUUGUUUUUUUACAGUGAUUACAGACAUUAUGAUAAAUGUGAUACUGGUGCUAAUGGUGCUGCUAAUUACUGCAACGUCCUUUUACUGUAAUUACUGUCUGAGGUGAGUCUCUUUCCCCUGAAUUACUUCCAGAUUUUUCCACACGUGUCUCUUUUGUUUUUUUUUUUUGUUUUUUACACAAUAUUCAGUAUUUUAUUUGACUUUUACAAAUUUUACAGUAUUUUUACUUUAUUAUUUGUUUUGUACUGUGGUCACUUUGAGUCUGAAUCUGC